rnacentral:rRNA from 1 species
UUAAGCGACUAAGCGUACACGGUGGAUGCCCUGGCAGUCAGAGGCGAUGAAGGACGUGCUAAUCUGCGAUAAGCGUCGGUAAGGUGAUAUGAACCGUUAUAACCGGCGAUUUCCGAAUGGGGAAACCCAGUGUGUUUCGACACACUAUCAUUAACUGAAUCCAUAGGUUAAUGAGGCGAACCGGGGGAACUGAAACAUCUAAGUACCCCGAGGAAAAGAAAUCAACCGAGAUUCCCCCAGUAGCGGCGAGCGAACGGGGAGGAGCCCAGAGCCUGAAUCAGUGUGUGUGUUAGUGGAAGCGUCUGGAAAGGCGCGCGAUACAGGGUGACAGCCCCGUACACAAAAAUGCACAUAUUGUGAGCUCGAUGAGUAGGGCGGGACACGUGGUAUCCUGUCUGAAUAUGGGGGGACCAUCCUCCAAGGCUAAAUACUCCUGACUGACCGAUAGUGAACCAGUACCGUGAGGGAAAGGCGAAAAGAACCCCGGCGAGGGGAGUGAAAAAGAACCUGAAACCGUGUACGUACAAGCAGUGGGAGCACGCUUAGGCGUGUGACUGCGUACCUUUUGUAUAAUGGGUCAGCGACUUAUAUUCUGUAGCAAGGUUAACCGAAUAGGGGAGCCGAAGGGAAACCGAGUCUUAACUGGGCGUUAAGUUGCAGGGUAUAGACCCGAAACCCGGUGAUCUAGCCAUGGGCAGGUUGAAGGUUGGGUAACACUAACUGGAGGACCGAACCGACUAAUGUUGAAAAAUUAGCGGAUGACUUGUGGCUGGGGGUGAAAGGCCAAUCAAACCGGGAGAUAGCUGGUUCUCCCCGAAAGCUAUUUAGGUAGCGCCUCGUGAAUUCAUCUCCGGGGGUAGAGCACUGUUUCGGCAAGGGGGUCAUCCCGACUUACCAACCCGAUGCAAACUGCGAAUACCGGAGAAUGUUAUCACGGGAGACACACGGCGGGUGCUAACGUCCGUCGUGAAGAGGGAAACAACCCAGACCGCCAGCUAAGGUCCCAAAGUCAUGGUUAAGUGGGAAACGAUGUGGGAAGGCCCAGACAGCCAGGAUGUUGGCUUAGAAGCAGCCAUCAUUUAAAGAAAGCGUAAUAGCUCACUGGUCGAGUCGGCCUGCGCGGAAGAUGUAACGGGGCUAAACCAUGCACCGAAGCUGCGGCAGCGACGCUUAUGCGUUGUUGGGUAGGGGAGCGUUCUGUAAGCCUGCGAAGGUGUGCUGUGAGGCAUGCUGGAGGUAUCAGAAGUGCGAAUGCUGACAUAAGUAACGAUAAAGCGGGUGAAAAGCCCGCUCGCCGGAAGACCAAGGGUUCCUGUCCAACGUUAAUCGGGGCAGGGUGAGUCGACCCCUAAGGCGAGGCCGAAAGGCGUAGUCGAUGGGAAACAGGUUAAUAUUCCUGUACUUGGUGUUACUGCGAAGGGGGGACGGAGAAGGCUAUGUUGGCCGGGCGACGGUUGUCCCGGUUUAAGCGUGUAGGCUGGUUUUCCAGGCAAAUCCGGAAAAUCAAGGCUGAGGCGUGAUGACGAGGCACUACGGUGCUGAAGCAACAAAUGCCCUGCUUCCAGGAAAAGCCUCUAAGCAUCAGGUAACAUCAAAUCGUACCCCAAACCGACACAGGUGGUCAGGUAGAGAAUACCAAGGCGCUUGAGAGAACUCGGGUGAAGGAACUAGGCAAAAUGGUGCCGUAACUUCGGGAGAAGGCACGCUGAUAUGUAGGUGAAGUCCCUCGCGGAUGGAGCUGAAAUCAGUCGAAGAUACCAGCUGGCUGCAACUGUUUAUUAAAAACACAGCACUGUGCAAACACGAAAGUGGACGUAUACGGUGUGACGCCUGCCCGGUGCCGGAAGGUUAAUUGAUGGGGUCAGCGCAAGCGAAGCUCUUGAUCGAAGCCCCGGUAAACGGCGGCCGUAACUAUAACGGUCCUAAGGUAGCGAAAUUCCUUGUCGGGUAAGUUCCGACCUGCACGAAUGGCGUAAUGAUGGCCAGGCUGUCUCCACCCGAGACUCAGUGAAAUUGAACUCGCUGUGAAGAUGCAGUGUACCCGCGGCAAGACGGAAAGACCCCGUGAACCUUUACUAUAGCUUGACACUGAACAUUGAGCCUUGAUGUGUAGGAUAGGUGGGAGGCUUGGAAGUGUGGACGCCAGUCUGCAUGGAGCCGACCUUGAAAUACCACCCUUUAAUGUUUGAUGUUCUAACGUUGACCCGUAAUCCGGGUUGCGGACAGUGUCUGGUGGGUAGUUUGACUGGGGCGGUCUCCUCCUAAAGAGUAACGGAGGAGCACGAAGGUUGGCUAAUCCUGGUCGGACAUCAGGAGGUUAGUGCAAUGGCAUAAGCCAGCUUGACUGCGAGCGUGACGGCGCGAGCAGGUGCGAAAGCAGGUCAUAGUGAUCCGGUGGUUCUGAAUGGAAGGGCCAUCGCUCAACGGAUAAAAGGUACUCCGGGGAUAACAGGCUGAUACCGCCCAAGAGUUCAUAUCGACGGCGGUGUUUGGCACCUCGAUGUCGGCUCAUCACAUCCUGGGGCUGAAGUAGGUCCCAAGGGUAUGGCUGUUCGCCAUUUAAAGUGGUACGCGAGCUGGGUUUAGAACGUCGUGAGACAGUUCGGUCCCUAUCUGCCGUGGGCGCUGGAGAACUGAGGGGGGCUGCUCCUAGUACGAGAGGACCGGAGUGGACGCAUCACUGGUGUUCGGGUUGUCAUGCCAAUGGCACUGCCCGGUAGCUAAAUGCGGAAGAGAUAAGUGCUGAAAGCAUCUAAGCACGAAACUUGCCCCGAGAUGAGUUCUCCCUGACCCUUUAAGGGUCCUGAAGGAACGUUGAAGACGACGACGUUGAUAGGCCGGGUGUGUAAGCGCAGCGAUGCGUUGAGCUAACCGGUACUAAUGAACCGUGAGGCUUAACCUU